ACUAAGGUUAAACGACAAGGCUCUGGCAGCAGUGUAUUGCAGUGCCAGGCAGGAUAACACCACUAAGGUUAAACGACAAGGCUCUGGCUGCAGUGCAUUGCAGUGCCAGGCAGGAUAACACCACUAAGGUAGAAUAACCGAUAGGACCGAGGAAGAAAGGAAAGGGACG